AUGUUGGAAGUGAGAAUUGGAUAAAACUAAAUUGAUGGUUAUUAUCUUAGUUAGGGGCGUUCAAUUUAGUUUUCUCCAAUAUCUCACAUUCGAUAU
rnacentral:pre_miRNA from 1 species